UACGAAGGGGGCUAGCGUUGCUCGGAAUCACUGGGCGUAAAGGGUGCGUAGGCGGGUUUUAAGUCAGAGGUGAAAUCCUGGAGCUCAACUCCAGAACUGCCUUUGAUACUGAGAAUCUUGAGUACGGGAGAGGUGAGUGGAACUGCGAGUGUAGAGGUGAAAUUCGUAGAUAUUCGCAAGAACACCAGUGGCGAAGGCGGCUCACUGGCCCGUAACUGACGCUGAGGCACGAAAGCGUGGGGGAGCAAACAGG
rnacentral:rRNA from 1 species